rnacentral:rRNA from 1 species
AACGAACGCUGGCGGCAUGCCUAACACAUGCAAGUCGAACGAGACCUUCGGGUCUAGUGGCUCACGGGUGCGUAACGCGUCGGAACCUUCCCUUAUGUUCGGAAUAACUCCCCUAAAGGGGUGCUAAUACCGGAUAAUGUCUUCGGACCAAAGAUUUAUCGCCUUUGUAUGGGCCCGCGUUGUAUUAGCUAGGUGGUAGGGUAAAAGCCUACCAAGGCGACGAUCCAUAGCUGGUCUGAGAGGAUGAUCAGCCACUCUGGGACUGAGACACGGCCGGGACUCCUACGGGAGGCAGCAGUGGCGAAUAUUGGAAAACGGGCGAAAGGCUGAUGCAGCAAUGCCGCGUGAGUGAUGAAGUUCUGAGGGUUGUAAAGCUCUUUUAUCCGGGAUGAUAAUGACAGUACCGGGAGAAUAAGCACCGGCUAACUCCGUG